AAUAGAGUGGUUUGUCCAUUUCAGGACACCGUAUUUCCUCUUUAAUCUCGCUUGUUCACAAUCACAUGAUUAUCCCGCUUGUCAAUGCAAAUGGAGAUACACGGCUCUGCAAAAUCCGCUGUCAUCCUUUGAGUAAAGAUAUGAAUGUGGUCUUGUAAAAACUGUGGGAUGACUGCAUCGACAAGAAUCCAUCUACUAAACACUACAGAUAAGUGCUGAGUUCACUUGCAUUACCACCAUCCCACUUAUCAGUUUAUGGCGC